AGCGAACGCUGGCGGCAGGCCUAACACAUGCAAGUCGAACGAACCCUUCGGGGUUAGUGGCGGACGGGUGAGUAACGCGUGGGAACGUGCCUUUUGGUUCGGAAUAACUCAGGGAAACUUGUGCUAAUACCGGAUGUGCCCUUCGGGGGAAAGAUUUAUCGCCCGUGGAUGGGCCCGCGUCGGAUUAGCUAGUUGGUGAGGUAACGGCUCACCAAGGCGACGAUCAUUAGCUGGUCUGAGAGGAUGACCAGCCACACUGGGACUGAGACACGGCCCAGACUCCUACGGGAGGCAGCAGUGGGGAAUCUUGCGCAAUGGGCGAAAGCCUGACGCAGCCAUGCCGCGUGAAUGAUGAAGGUCUUAGGAUUGUAAAAUUCUUUCACCGGGGACGAUAAUGACGGUACCCGGAGAAGAAGCCCCGGCUAACUUCGUG
rnacentral:rRNA from 1 species